rnacentral:tRNA from 1 species
CAUAUAGCUCAGUUGGUAGAGCACUUCCUUGGUAAGGAAGAGGUCACCGGUUCAAAUCCGGUUAUG